UGGAAAGUUGGUCUUAAGAGGAUAUACCAU
rnacentral:piRNA from 1 species